rnacentral:snRNA from 1 species
AACUGCUCCAAAACCAGUUGCU